CAAAACUAUUUUCCCAAUUGGAGUUCAUUUUUUCCCUACUUUCCAGUUGUAGUUCCAGUUUUCCCUACUUUCCUAGUUCCGAGUUCCGGGAUGUCUAGAACAAACCAAGUAGCCUAGCCUAUUCCGAUCUGACGUUUGAGUUGCGAGUGCGACACCGCUCUGAGUUGAACUGGCAGUCCAAACUUCAUGAACAGGUAGAGUAAAGUGAGAGAGAGAAAGAAGAGCUGGUCAUGGAGAUAGAGCAACUGAAAGAGCAACAUGAGACUCUGAGAAGUGUCCUGAAGGAGCAACAGCAAGAGAUUGAUCGCCUCAAGUCUCUGACCACUAUUCCUGAGAAAAAUGAACGAGCGUUGAUCAAGAUCCAACAGCUGAAGAAGGAGCAAGAGGAGUUGAGAGGGAGGGUUGAGAUCCAAAGUGUGGAGAUUGCACAGUGAGUCAUUCUUGUC
rnacentral:lncRNA from 8 species